UGGGGAAUAUUGCACAAUGGGCGCAAGCCUGAUGCAGCCAUGCCGCGUGUAUGAAGAAGGCCUUCGGGUUGUAAAGUACUUUCAGUCGGGAGGAAGGUGGUAAGGUUAAUAACCUUAUCAAUUGACGUUACCGACAGAAGAAGCACCGGCUAACUCCGUGCCAGCAGCCGCGGUAAUACGGAGGGUGCAAGCGUUAAUCGGAAUUACUGGGCGUAAAGCGCACGCAGGCGGUUGAUUGAGUCAGAUGUGAAAUCCCCGGGCUUAACCCGGGAAUUGCAUCUGAUACUGGUCAGCUAGAGUCUUGUAGAGGGGGGUAGAAUUCCAUGUGUAGCGGUGAAAUGCGUAGAGAUGUGGAGGAAUACCGGUGGCGAAGGCGGCCCCCUGGACAAAGACUGACGCUCAGUUGCGAAAGCGUGGGGAGCAAACAGG
rnacentral:rRNA from 1 species